AUCCGCUCAAGCUGGACAUCAUCGACAUGGCCGCCAUCAGCAGAAUGACGCCGCAGCAGCUGGAGUCUCUCGCUGAAGGGCUGGCAGCGGCAGAAAUUAUGAGAACAAAGCGGUCGUCAGCGCAAGCCCUCACUUCUGUGGUGUCCAAGGCAUCCUCUGGACUCCAGAGCAAGGUGGGCCUGCUGGGCCAGGCGUCAGCAGGCGCCGCUACCCUCAUCGCAUCCGCCUCGAGCAAAUCAGGGGGGCAUUCUGAGCAUCCUGGUUAUUCAUACGAACCACACGACGAAAAAUACGACUACUGGGGUUUAAAGAAGUCGAUUCUUUACACCCUGUUUCAAGCCGUGAAAGCCAUCACCGGAGGAGUGACCAUCCUCAAGGGCCAGCUCAUCAAAGGAGGAGGAGCGCUGGCCUCCACAUUAGGGAAGGUGAUCGCAGUGAAAGGAGACGCUGUCAGCAAUCUAGGAAAGAAGAUCGUUAGCUCAGCCGCUUUAAGUUCUAAGAAACCUAUUUCGACCCCAGUGUACGGGCCGCCGCCAUCCCACGUGGAGUACGGUCCACCACCGAGCGCGUACGGAGCGCCCACUGCGCCGGCGCACUACUCGCACACCGCGCCGUCUGAGCCCACCGGGUAUGGGCACAAGUAUCCCGCGCAUUUGGACGAAGCUAUAGUGAUGUCGGCAAUAGUCAAGGGGGUCUACCCAGACCCGGAUCCUCCGUUUCCAUCAAGCGAACUAUUGGAACGAUAUUAUGAUUUAGUGAAUGCGCUCUGGACGAAAUAAACUGAGCGGGGUGCACGCCGGAGUGGUCAUACUGACACCGCUGGGGGACGCCGCGCCCAGCGAGGCGCACGAGGCUGCCAGCGAGCCCGCGGCACACACGCCCCUCGACCCUCCCCCCUCCAUCCUCCAUACAGUCUACAGCGCAAUCAAAAACGCCUUCUCAUCAGCCGCACCAGAUUACGCAGAAGAACCAAUCCUCACCCACCAGCCUCCACCCCCACCACAACCAAUACCACCCUUCAAACCCAUGACAUGGGACGCCGUCAACUCCUACGGCGAACCUGCCAUGACUGACGCCUAUCCAGACUACGACCCCCGCCACCCACACCCUCAAUUCAACUACGCUUCAGCCAAGCAAUCUGUCGUCCCCCAUAUACACAAACACCACACAGGGUUAACCCCUGAUAAGAUCCAAAAAAUAAACCACAACUUGAAAAAACUGGCCGCAUACAUGAAUCAAAACCAAAGGUCUUCAGAGGUCUUUCCUCCUACUUUUGUGGGCCUGGGGAAAUAUCAGGAGAUGCUAAAAAAAGGCCUGAUUCCACUUUUCCCUACUCCCGUAGUCAGUGACAAUGAAAUAGGGGUCCUUCCCGCCGAAUUCCUCCCCGAUCCCGAUCCCAUCUCGACUGUAACGACCAAAGGCACUACGACCACUUCAACUACUACAGAAAAACCAAAGACAACAAUAACCACACAAGGAACCACUACGCCAAAGCCCGAAGGCGAGAACAGAAGAAAAGACGUGAAGUACAUACUCCGAGGGAACAAGAUUGUCCAAGUUUGAAAAAGACUGACUAUGACUGACUGAGAGAGAUUCCUCUGCAAGGAGCAGUGUUGGGGGCAGAAGAGUUGCAGCACUACUACGGAUAGACAUCAAGACAGUAGAUUCUUUAUCAAAUAAUACUCGGUGAUAUUUAAUUUAGAAUUGUAGAUAGACCGUGUAGUGUGACUUCUGUCUAAACACUAGUACUACGUCUUAAACUAAACUAUGUUAUUUGCACAUUGUACAUUAUUUUUAUUUUUAUACGUGCGAACCAAAAACCAUUUAAUUUUAUGUAAUUUUUAAAUUGUACUAUAGGUGUUUCGAAGUUACCCAGUGGAUGAAAGUUCUUGUUAUGUUAAAUAUUUAUAUUUGCGUUUUUUUUUAAACAAAGCCACGACAUUAUUUGUUGGUAGUAUUAAUAGAAUAUUAAAACAAACUGUUAUGUAUUAUAUUUGACCUAAGUCUACGACAUUUCAUUUCAUUUCAUAAAUUAAUUAUUGUAAAUUAUAUUUAGAUUUUCUUCUUCUAGUUGUAAAUAUUUCUUAAUCUAUUUAUGCCUUGAAAUUGUAAAAUAUUGUUUCUUUACUUUGUACAUAAAUUAUGAGGAAUGUGAUGUAGAAAUUAAAAGAUAAAGGGAUGA